rnacentral:lncRNA from 10 species
AGUAAGUCCAGCCCGAGGCUAAGGGUGGAUCGGGCGGAGGCCGUCAAGCUAGCCGGAAGGGGCUGUGCUGUCAACCAGCGAGCGCAGGAGGUGUUAACCACCGAAGGGAGGUAGAAUGUUUUUCCCCACCAGAGGAGGCAGCGACCACGUCUCCUCUAUGGAGGCAUUCAAGAGCCGUCCAGCUGAAGCAGCAUCACUGUCUGAGCUCGGAAGGCACAAUCCACAUAGGUCUGCAUGGUCCACCGAGCUGCAUACCCACGGGGCCAGCGGGAGGUGGGCAGCUGCUGGGCUCUCUUCUGAAGCAGACAGGAUCUCACUCUGUUGCUGAGGCUGGAUCACAGCUCCCUGCAACCUUGAACUCUCCCUCAAGCAAUUCUCCCCACUCUGCCUUCCAAAGCACUAGCAUUAUAGGCCUAAGCCACCACUCCCAUCCACUGUAGUGUAAACUGUCUCCUUCAAUGUUUCCAAUAGUUGCGGAGCAGAUCAGAUAAGGGUUCUUCCUGUCUGUUGCUUCAAGUUUCAUUCUCUCUUUAAACAAUACAAGGUUGGCUUCCAUGGUUCCUUCUUAAAGAAUGUUGAAGG